CGGAUCGGUGAUGACCACUGGAGUCGUAUCAGUCACGGACGAUGACAACAGCUCAAUGUCUGAGGUCCAA
ensembl:snoRNA